rnacentral:rRNA from 1 species
UACGUAGGGGGCAAGCGUUGUCCGGAAUCAUUGGGCGUAAAGAGCGUGUAGGCGGCCCGAUAAGUCCGCUGUCGAAAGUCCAGGGCUCAACCCUGGGAUGCCGGUGGAUACUGUCGGGCUCGAGUCCGGAAGAGGGAGUGUGGAAUUCCUGGUGUAGCGGUGAAAUGACGGCAGAUAUCAGGAGGAACACCAAUGGCGAAGGCAGCACUCUGGGACGUGACUGACGCUGAGACGCGAAAGCGUGGGGAGCAAACAGG